rnacentral:rRNA from 1 species
GGACCAGGGAGUCUAGCAUGUAUGCAAGUCUUUGGAUAAUAAAUAUCCAAAAAGGCAUAAUUAACGUAAAAGUUUUUUGUAUGUAUAUUAUUUGUAUAUAUUAUAUAAAUGUUAGGUCCAUACCGCAUUUAUAUAUAUUUUUAUAAUAUAUAUUAAUGUAGUCAAAUCUACUUUUAUAUAUAUAUUAAAUAUAUACAUAUAUAAACCAAGGGAAGAUAAGUGGUUUUUAAAUGUUGCUUCGCAUUCCCGGGGCGUUCCAUAUAAACAUAUAUAUAUUUUAUAUAUAUAAUGUUUGGGGCGCACCAAUAGCAUACACGCUGGGACCCGAAAGAUGGUGAACUAUGC